AGCAGUCGCCACGGUAAUACGGAGGGGGCUAGCGUUGCUCGGAAUUACUGGGCAUAAAGGGUGCGUAGGCGGUUUGGCAAGUCUUGUGUGAAAUCUAUGGGCUCAACCCAUAGCCUGCACGAGAAACUACCGGGCUUGAGUAUUGGAGAGGUGAGUGGAAUUUCCGGUGUAGCGGUGAAAUGCGUAGAUAUCGGAAGGAACACCUGUGGCGAAAGCGGCUCACUGGACAAUAACUGACGCUGAUGCACGAAAGCUAGGGGAGCAAACAGGAUUAGAGACCCCAGUAGUCCCUGUCUCUUAUAC
rnacentral:rRNA from 1 species